ensembl:antisense Gm2366 predicted gene 2366
ACUAAGAAAUUUUACGCUGGGGUUUCAGAGGGCUUCUUCUUGUAAGAAGUUAGGGGACCGAGAAACCGUUUUCUGUAGCCCACCGCCCUUCAGGAGUUUUCAAAAUGUCCACAAUCUUCCCUUCUUAACCUUUGCCAAGCUGACUUGAUCAUGUAGUUGGUGACUCUCAAGGAGGAGGGAUUUUGCUUCCAGGGGGACAUCUGGCAGAGCUCGGCUGUCAACAGCACUUGGAAGGGAGGAAGCGUUGCUUCCACGUAGAUGAUAGCAGCCAAGAGACAAAAACAGCUUACGCCACGCACAACGGCCUCCCUCUGCAACAAGGAGCUGUUUUUGCUUCCAAACAUCAACCGCACUGAUGCAGCCGAGAAGCAAACCGCUACGACAGAUGGGCUUUGCUGGCAUCUCCUCGGACCUUCCCAGGCUCGCCCACGCAGAUUCAAUAUUUCCCCCAAUGCCUCAAAACCCCACAGGGUUGGGAGUUCCUAAGAGACCACUGAGACUCAACACGAAAACACUAUGUAUCUCAGGCGGGACUCCUACUCACCAUCCUCCGGCCUCAGCCUCCCAAGGGCUAUGCUUAAAGGCGUAUGCCAUCAUACCCAGCUCCUGAAUCCUCUCUAUAGUAUGGAUAACAUUCUUACUAUGCAUACACAAUGUGAAGUUCAACAAUAUCAUCAUCUGCGGUAUCCUAGCAUUGAAUUAACAGGACCCUGAGCCCGUUGCUGACAUAAAAAUGGUAAAACAGGAGCCCAGAGUGAUUUGGUAUUUGGACCUCACACAGGUACGUAUCGGGCACAAAGCUUCAGCCGUACAGAAGGCAGCCCAGACUGCCGACUGCGGAAAGUGAGCGACUGGCAACAGGUACGUUUUUCUCAGCCCUGAAAUAUCAGGUUUGCUCCUGAGAAUGGGAAUAAGGUAGUGGGCGAACUUUGUACCAGGGUGGGGUUGACAUUUAUGCUUGCUGAAGUGGUAUAACUUUAAAUUAUAGUCUUGCAUUUCAACGGGGGAGUUAUCUGGACUAACAAGUCAAUGUUGCCCUUAAGUCAUGACUAUUUACUAGAUAGCACAGAAGAGAGACAUGUAGUGGGACCCCAUCUCUUCCUAUGUCUGACACAUGGCCCGUGCGUGUUCAGUAAGGACUUGCUGACAGUGUGGAAACCUCUCCCACGUGGCAAUUAUACUGUAAACCUGAGGGACAAAGCCAACUCUAAUCCGUAGAUUCACCGAGUGUUAUACAUCUCCAGGGCUGACAACAGUAGGAAAGUAAUGCUCUAAUCUGCUUCUCUGACAAGCCGACACCACCCAGAGUACAGCACUUAGUCUCUUGUGCGUAAUUCAGUUACUACUGGAAAAACCCUUUCAUUAAAUUACUUUCUCUGAAGACUUCAAAUCAGAGAAAAACUAUUGCUCAAUAAAUUUCUCCUAAUUAAACAUGCAGGUAAAUUUAAUAACCAAGUCUCUUGAACUUUAUUAAAUGCAAUCAGAUACAAAUUAGAAACAGCUAAUUAUGAAUAAAUGUUCAAUGAAAGGCAAUAUGAACAUUUUACAGUUCACCAUGUUCCAAUGGGUAUAUGUACACACACACACACACACACACUUCUGAACUCUCACAGUAGUGGCUUCCUAUAGAAGUUUUUGGUUUUUUUUUUUUUAGCACAUUACAUUAUGAAAGCUGUGUCUUACAGCCUUAUUCCACACGGGAACAGACCAAUGGCACUUACUCUAUUCUUUGGGGAGAGACAGAGUUCCAUUCUCAGAAUACCAAAUUACUAAUCCCAUCAGUCAUUACAAACACUCAAAGAAUGCACAUGCCUUCACUCAGACACCAACAAUCAUAUUUUAACCACCCAGUUGUUGAAAAUUAUGUGAAAGCUAACGGAAAGUUGAACAUUUUCGCCUACAUAAACCCAGUCAGUUUGUCUAUGACAAAGUCUCUUCAUUGAAAUGCUCGGGCAUGCACGAAUGGAAUGCACUGUUUUUCUAACUGCUGAAAUUCUCAAGCAGUGGAAAAAAUUCUUUAUCUCCUUUAUCCAAGGCACUAACCUGGUAACAGUGCAUUUUAACGCUCUCAUCCCAGGUGGUAUAGAAAAUCUUAUCUGUAAAUAACAAAGUCAACCUGGUUCUUUUAAGGGAAACAAACGAGUUUCCCAACACGUAAAGAAAUAAGUUUAAUUGGCACAGAAAGCAAAUGGGCAAGUAUUUUUGUCAAACUUGCUCCCUAUAUACUCAGAUUUAGAGUCUGAGAUCUAUAACCUGCAAUCUCUGCAUGCAAUGCCUAGCAGAGACCACAGACAACAAGUUAAGUAGAGUUCUAGGCUUAAAGAAAAUCAGUAGAUUAGGAUACGCUAAAACCAUUUCACAAAAUGACGCGUGAAACUGGCUCUACGUCUUCUACUACCAAUGACUGUGAGGACGGUGGGAAACUGAAGCCUUCUCCAGACUCUACACUUAGAGGUAUUUAGCAGGGCCAACUCUUUCCUGAUUUUAUUCUGGAACUCCUUGGCCCAGGCUCAGUUGACCUUCCUGGCUUGGGCUAUAUCUGUGCUACCUCUAGACAAUGUGACAGGCCUCUUCCCAGAAGCCACCACUCUGUGGCCUGUUUCAACAGCUGGAUUCUAUGCAUGAUACUCUACUGUCAAAAGGACUGUGGGGCUAGUUCACAAGGCACAGGACACAGGGUAUCCCCUUUUUCUCUGAGAAUUGACCCAACACAGGGAGAUAUCAUACUCUCCUGGCAUUUCUGAGCCAGAGAAAAUACUCUCAUUAAAAUGUUGAAUUACUAAGCCAGAAUUUGCCUGACUAGUUUAAGAGCCUAAAAUGACUCCAAAAAAAAAAAAAAACUGAAUUAGAAAAAUAAAGUUCCCCCACUCCCGUAGGAUUUAUCAGUCUNNNNNNNNNNNNNNNNNNNNNNNNNGAGGUUUCCCCCCCCCCCCCUAAAUCCCUUUUGCCUUAUACAUUAAACAGUAGUUAAAAAAGAUUUAAUCCGUUUCUGCAGCGCUAUGUGGAAAUAUGCUUCAGCACCUAGAAGCAGUUUUAGAAAAUGCGAGAUACGCCGUUCAAGCACAGACACGAGACUGCAUGGCUUCCGACCUACCUGACUCGAUCGAGUAGAGCACUUCAGCAUUCCUCCCUUUGUCUUUGUCCAGAGCUGUCACUUGCAGCACAACUGAGCCUACGGCUGCAGAUUCAUAAACCCGCCCGUCGUAGGACGGACUGGUGAACCACGGCGCAUGGUCAUUCUUGUCACUGACAUUGACAACAAUCCUGGCAAAGUUGCGUUUCACAGGGACAUCCUGAUCCCGGACCUGGGAGAGAAAAGUCAACAUGUUAUCUACUGGGGUUCUUCUUUCUUGUGGAUUAAAAACAAACAAACAAACAAACAAACAAAAACAUAAAAUAAUACAUAUAUACAUACAUACAUAAAAACAUAAAUAAAAUUAUUAUGCUUUUCCAUCCCAGGAAACCUGCCAGUCAGAAAGAGAGACGGCAGGGUAAAGGGUGCCUUCCGUACCAUGACCGUGAGAACGUGCUGGUGAAUGGCUUCAUGGUCAAGCUUUUCAGCAGUGUAAAGAGCGCCUGUUGCGGGAUCGAGGCGGAAUUUCUUGAGGCUGGCUGGAUCGAUGCUGCUCUGCAGAGUGUAGAUCAACUUGUUUUUCUCAUCCCUAUCUACUGCACUGAUCUGCAGAAUCUCCACUUCUGGCUCUGUGUCCUCGGGAACAGCAACUUCGUAUUUCGAUGUAGAAAACUGGGGGCGGUGGUCAUUGGUAUCUAUUACUUUGAUGAGGACCUGGAACGAGUGGCAAGGACACUCACAUAAAGACACAUUCACAAUUAUGUUUUAAUACUUAAAAAUACAUACAUAUUGAAAAGAUGCCAUUGAACCAAACUACAUAUGGACACGAGAAAAAAAAAGCAAUAAAAAUCUAGAUUCAAAG